AUAAUUUUUUAGAUUCUUCUCUGUGCCGGGUGACUUGCUCAUACUCUACGCUUUCUACUGAGAAUUAUUGGGAAGAUUGAGAAAAUUAUGACUUGCAUAUUCUUUUAAAAAAGAUUGAGUUAUUAUAUAUAAGUACAUUGUAGCUGUCUUCUGACACACCAGGAGAGGGCAUCAGAUCCCAUUACAGAUGGUUGUGAGCCACCGUGUGGUUUCUGGGAUUUGAACACAGGACCUCUGGAAGAGCAGUCAGUGCUCUUAACCGCUGAGCCAUCUCUCCAGCCGUAUUAUUUUUACUAGUAAUUAAAUGGGAAGUUGCUAGGUUAUAGCUUCUGUAGAUAUCAUGUCUGGAUAAAUAGGAAAACACUUGCUAUUUUGUCUUCUCGAGGCUGGCUGUUGGUGCAAGGCAGUCAUGGUACACAGCUGGUUGGCCUCCAGCCAGGAAAGGACCUCACUGCAUUUAUCCAGUAUUUUCUUUUUAUCAGACUCGCUGAUCUUGUCCUUCAGACCCUCAUCGCCUACAGCGCUCUUCAUGUUAAAGGCAUACGAUUCUAAGGCAUUUUUGGCAGCGAUCUUCUCCCUCUGGCCCUCGUCCUCGGCCUUGUACCGCUCGGCCUCUUGCACCAUGCGCUCGAUCUCCUCCUUGCUCAAGCGGCCCUUGUCGUUGGUGAUGGUGAUCUUGUUGGCCUUGCCGGUGCUCUUGUCCAUGGCUGUGACGUUGAGAAUCCCGUUGGCGUCGAUGUCGAAGGUCACCUCGAUCUGGGGCACACCCCUAGGUGC
rnacentral:lncRNA from 1 species